GGCUCCCGCCCUCCCGGCCUCCCGCCCAGCCCGGCGCAGGAAACCGAGCUGCGGACCAGGGACCCCGCGACCCGCCCUGGCCACCCCGGGGGACCAGUGACUCUGGCCACCCCAGGGGACCCCGCGACCCAGGCCACCCCGAGGAACCGCAGCUCCAUCCUGAGGGUGCAGUCCUGCUACCCAGCGCAGGAAACGGGAGCCUAGGACCUGAGGGGACCCCAGAGCCAGGCCACACAGGAGGUGUGGGGGACCUCGUCCCUCAAUCCUGACCACUUGAGACCUCAGGUCUCGGCCCCAGCCAUUGGGAAUCACUACCCCAGAGAAGCUGGCUCCCUCUCUCCAGCGCUCCGGCCUCACCCUGAGAAGCGCACCGACUCCAGGAUGCCCUUGAGUUCCUUCCGAGCACCCCACCUUCCCCACCCCAUGCCACGUCCAUAUUUGGCUCCCGAGGGAGCUGGACCUUCUCCUUCCUACGAUCCCUUCAGUAAGGGCUAAUUUCUCUCUUUAAAUCAUUUCAUAGAAGGAAAGAAUGCAAAGAGACUGCUGCCAGGGUGUGGUGGCACACCUCUGGCAUUCCAGCACUCCAGGAGGCUGAGGCAGGAGGAUUGCAAAUUCCAAACCAACUCGCAUUAUUUAGUGAUUUAGUAAGAUUCUGCCUCAAAAUUUAAAAAAAAUAAAAUACAUAAAAUGGAUUGGGAAUGUAGCUCAGUGCAAAGUCCCAGAGUUCAAUCCCCAGUAACAAUAAAUGAAUAAAUAAAUCCGUCCAUCCAUCCACUCAAACAUACUGUGGUCUACGGUGCAGCCCCCCAGGGCAACCCAGAAGUAGAGAUAGGACAGGCACGUGGAGCUGGGGACUGGUGUCCUCCUGGCAGCCUGUUUGGGUCUGGAAAGGCCCUCCUCCUGCAGACCAGCCCUCCUCCUGCCCUGCCUCCUUUAGUGGGUGCCUGCCCUCAGUCACUUCCCCACCCCCUGGCCUGAGGGUCCUCCCUGCCACAGGCCACAGCGUCAGGAGGCUGAGGACAGAUGAUUGUGAGAAACCUUGGAGCCCCGCAUCAGUCUCCAGUCAGGCGGGGCACCAAGUGAGGCUUGAGGCCCAGAGCAGAGGAAAGUCUGGCUUAUGUGUCCCCAUCAUCACAAAGCAGCGGGCCUCACUGUGGCCAGUGGCAGGGCUCCCCAAAUUGAGUGUCCAGGUCAGAGGACAGAGCACAGCGGCCAGGCUGCAGGGCCUGGGGCCUCCUGGCUUCCGCCAUCCACGUGCUAAGGCCGGGCCUGCUGAUCCCCCUCCUCCACCUGGCCUAGUCCUCACGGGGUCCCAGGGCUGCCAACCUCCACCCCUCCUGGGCCUCUCCAACCGCUGAGGCCCCCCUGUAGCCAGUCCUUUCUUUCCUUACCCUGGAGCUCCCAGGCGUCAACUGCUAGCUCCCCAGGCAGAGGUCCCUUGUGCCCGGCCUGGGAACUGGACCUACUUGCCAGUGGAAGGCGGCCCUCUUUCGUCCCAGCCCAGCUCCAGGGCGAGAGGUCUGGGGCCUCCGAGAAUGCACCUCACGCAUCUCCACAUUCCGAGCCCAGGUUCCGAGGCUCUGUGAGUCACACUGCCCAUUCACGGGGCUCGGUGUGUCCUGGGGCUGAAGCCGCUGGGCUCCUUAGAGCACUCCAAGCGGUGGGACCACCUGACCAGCUGGGACCUCCUGUCAGAGGACAUCUCGGACCCCCUGCAGACAGUGGAGGCAGCCACGUCAUGCAGUGGCCGCUGCCUGUGGCUUUCUCCGAUGGCUACUCCAGAGCGGCCCUGUCUCCUCUGCCUGGGGACAGGAGCCGGCAGGAAGUGCUGAUGUGCGGGACUGAAGGACAGGUCAGAGUGGAGCAGCCGAGCAGCUGGACGAUGGGGUUGCCGUGCCCUGGGAGGACGGGGCUGGGAGCUGUGUGACAGCAUGGAUGCCCCAGCUGGGAUCAGGACAGAGGCUCAGAUACAGGUGCAGUGGGGAGCCACAGACAGCCCCAGGUGGAAGCCAGAAGCCCAGAUGGGAGACCCAGCAGGACUUGGUAGUGUGAAUCUGUAAUCUCCACAUCACAGGAGGACUGCAAAUUCCAGCCCAUCCUCGGCAGUUUAGUCACUUAGAGCUUGUCCUAAAGCAGAAACUGGAAAGGGUGGGCCCAGGGUGUGGCGGUGCACACCCACGUUCCCAGCUCUUGGGGAGGCUGAGGCAGCACCUCCUCUCCAGCAAACCAACGCACCAACCAGCGAUGAA